rnacentral:rRNA from 1 species
GACGAACGCUGGCGGCGUGCUUAACACAUGCAAGUCGAACGGAAAGGCCCUGCUUUUGUGGGGUGCUCGAGUGGCGAACGGGUGAGUAACACGUGAGUAACCUGCCCUUGACUUUGGGAUAACUUCAGGAAACUGGGUCUAAUACCGGAUAGGAGCUCCUGCUGCAUGGUGGGGGUUGGAAAGUUUCGGCGGUUGGGGAUGGACUCGCGUCUUAUCAGGUUGUUGGUGGGGUAGUGGCUUACCAAGGCUUUGACGGGUAGCCGGCCUGAGAGGGUGACCGGCCACAUUGGGACUGAGAUACGGCCCAGACUCCUACGGGAGGCAGCAGUGGGGAAUAUUGCACAAUGGGCGGAAGCCUGAUGCAGCAACGCCGCGUGCGGGAUGACGGCCUUCGGGUUGUAAACCGCUUUCGCCUGUGACGAAGCGUGAGUGACGGUAAUGGGUAAAGAAGCACCGGCUAACUACGUG